GACGAAGGGGGCUAGCGUUGUUCGGAAUUACUGGGCGUAAAGCGCGUGUAGGCGGUUUUCCAAGUCGGGUGUGAAAGCCUUGAGCUCAACUCAAGAAAUGCACUCGGUACUGGGUGACUAGAGGACCGGAGAGGAUAGUGGAAUUCCCAGUGUAGUGGUGAAAUACGUAGAGAUUGGGAAGAACACCAGUGGCGAAGGCGGCUAUCUGGACGGUUUCUGACGCUAAGACGCGAAAGCGUGGGGAGCAAACAGG
rnacentral:rRNA from 1 species